rnacentral:tRNA from 1 species
UCCUUAGUAUUCCAGUUGUUAGGACUUGGCACUUUCAAUGCCUUGGUCCCAGGUUCAAUCCCUGGCUGAGGAA